AAUUACAAAUACAGAAACGCAAAGAUAAUCCCUUCUACCACUUGCAUAAUGAAUUAACUGGUAUAAUAUUACUAAGAGAACUUUUUAGCUAAAAUCCUUGAGACCAGAGGAGCUACCCAUAGAAAGUCAAGAGAACACACUCAUUUAUACAGCAAAAUAAUGAGAAAAUCAAUGGGUAGAGGUAAAAGGCCUACCGAACCUGGUGACAGCUGGUUUUACCAAGAUAGAAUUUAAGUUUAACUUUAAGUUUACCUAUAGAAUUGUCUAAUCCUAUUGUAAUUUUAUAUGUUAGUCUAAAGGGGGACAGCUCUUUAGAUGUAGGAAAUCACUUUUUCACUAACGGUAAGACACAAAACUCCUUCAGUUUGCCUAAAAGCAGACACCGAUUAAGAAAUCAUUGAAGUUAAACAUUUGAAACCCCUUAAUUUCAAUCACUACAUCUAAUUUCUAACACUAUACUGGACCAAUCUAUUUUUAAAUAGAAGAAAUACUGUUAGUAUAAGUAACAAUAAAUAAUUGUCUUUGCAUAAGCUUAGUCUUUGCGUAAGCUUAAUCUUUGCAUAAGCUUAUGUCAAACUGCAAAAUCCACUGAGAGUUAAUAAUCCAAUACAGAUAAUCAGAUUAUAAACUUUUUAUUGUCCCAAUUGGUAACCUAACACACAGAUGCAUUAAGGAAAGAUUUUAAAAAGUAAAAGGAACUCAGCAAAAUCAAACCCUGCCUGUUUACCAAAAACAUCACCUCUGACAUAACUAGUAUUAGAGGCACUACCUGCCCAGUGACAUAAGUUUAACAGCCACAGUAUCCUGACCAUGCUAAGGUAGCAUAAUCAUUUGUUCCCAAAAUAGGAAAUUCCAUGAAUGGCCUCACAAGGGUUUAAUUGUCUCUUAUGUUUAAUCAGUGAAAUUGACCUAUCUGUGGAGAGGCAGAAAUAUUUAAGUAAGAUAAAAAAACCUUAUGGAGUUUCAAUUUAUUAGUAGAAAUAAACUUAUAAAAAGCCUUAAUAGAUCUUUUUGGGAGUAAUUAUUUUUAUUUUUAAAUAUCUAGUGUACCACCAUGGCAUGUAUUCUUUAAAUUUUAUACAAACAAGCACAUUUUUUCAGUGUUUUGAUGUGUUUUCAUAUUUUUCUAACUUAGACGUGUAGGCAAUACAUUUUAUCUAAUGAACCAAAAAUUUUGGUUGGGUUGACCUCAGAGCAUAACACAACCUCUGAAAUGAUUUCAGCUAGGACCACACUAGUCAAGGUAAUCUAUUACACAUUGACCCAAGUAGUUUGAGCAAUGGAACACGUUACCUUAGGGAUAGCAGUACAAUCCUAUUCUAGAAUCCGUAUCAGCAAUAGGGUGCAUGACUUCGAUAUUGGAUCAGGAUAUUCCAAUGAUGUAACUACAAUUAAUGGCUCAUAUGUCCAAUGAUUAAAGUCCUAUGUGAUCUGAGUUCAGACCAGAGUAAUCCAGGUAAGCUGCUAUCUUUUCAAUAUUUCUCUCAGUACAAAAGGACAAGAGAAACAGGGCCCACUUCAAAAAGUGCCCUCGAGUUAAUAGAUGAUAUUAUUUAAAUCGAAUACACUAUUUCUACACCCUGUCCAAGAAUAGAGUUUGUUAAGAUGGCAGAGCUGUAAUUGU
rnacentral:ncRNA from 1 species